rnacentral:rRNA from 1 species
CUCGAGGUGUCCGCCUGGGACUCCCUCCUCCAAGACAUCACACUUAUGCCUAUGAACGUCGAGGAGGACCGGGAUGUUCUUUCCUGGCGCCUCGAGCCCUCUGGCCGUUUCUCCACGAAGUUCCUGUACGGUGCCAUUGCUCCCUCGACGGCCUUGGAACCAUUUAGCCUGAUCUAGGACAUCUGACUUCCGCUGAAGAUCAGAAUCUUCCUGUGGUAAUGGAUCCGUGGACGCAUCCCCUCUGGGGUUGAAGUCCUCAAGCAUAAUGGCCCGGGUGAUGGGAUGUGCCCCAUCUGUGGCACGAUUGAGGAUGCUAACCACAUCUUUUUCUCGUGCCACUCUGCCCAGUUCCUUUGGGCCUGCUUCCGCAAAAUGGUUGGCGGACAGUGGUGUAAUACCAACUUCCCCGACCUGCUUGCCGAGCUCAACGCUUCCCCUACUCACUACCGCCAUAUUAGAUGGCUGUGCGUUGGGGUUCUCGCCUGA